UCACUGGGCGUAAAGCGCACGUAGGCGGACCGUUAAGUCGGAGGUGAAAGCCUGGAGCUCAACUCCAGAACUGCCUUCGAUACUGGCGAUCUUGAGUAUGGUAGAGGUUGGUGGAACUCCGAGUGUAGAGGUGAAAUUCGUAGAUAUUCGGAAGAACACCAGUGGCGAAGGCGGCCAACUGGACCAUUACUGACGCUGAGGUGCGAAAGCGUGGGGAGCAAACAGGGUUAGAUACCCUGGUAGUCCACGCUGUAAACGAUGAGAGCUAGCCGUUGGGGUGCAUGCACCGCAGUGGCGCAGCUAACGCGUUAAGCUCUCCGCCUGGGGAGUACGGUCGCAAGAUUAAAACUCAAAGGAAUUGACGGUGGCCCGCACAAGCGGUGGAGCAUGUGGUUUAAUUCGAAGCUACGCGCAGAACCUUACCAGCCCUUGACAUGCCUCGGAAGUGGACGAGAGAUCGAUCACGCUCUUCCGGAGCCGGGGACACAGGUGCUGCAUGGCUGUCGUCAGCUCGUGUCGUGAGAUGUUGGGUUAAGUCCCGCAACGAGCGCAACCCUCGCCCUUAGUUGCCAUCAUUCAGUUGGGCACUCUAGGGGGACUGCCGGUGAUAAGCCGGAGGAAGGUGGGGAUGACGUCAAGUCCUCAUGGCCCUUACGGGCUGGGCUACACACGUGCUACAAUGGCGGUGACAGUGGGCAGCAAGGCAGUAAUGCCAAGCUAAUCUCAAAAAGCCGUCUCAGUUCGGAUUGAGGUCUGCAACUCGACCUCAUGAAGUUGGAAUCGCUAG
rnacentral:rRNA from 2 species